AACGACAAAAAUCACAGGCACAUAACAAAGGUUCAUAAUUCAUGUCAACUAGAAUUUUAAAAAUAUUACUACAACUUAUCCAUCACUUCAUCAAGCUUAAGAUAUCAGUCUGCAUUUCACGACGAUCGAGCAUUGGCCUAAGCUGUUUUCAUGUGCAGAAAUAAAAGCAAUCAUUACAAGAGGUAUUAAUACAUCGUCAAGUUUGUGCACAAUAAAAAGUUCUGGGUUAUAAGUUGCCAUGUCCAACGCAGGGAUACUUUCGAACAAGAUGGGCCGCAAAGCAACAAUCACGUCCUACUCCGGUCUUUUCUCCACUCCUUCCUCGACAUCAUGUACCACAACUUGAUGCUGGCUGAAUGACAAAAAGAAACAAGUUAGCUAGCAUCAGUUCAGAAUCGCACAACACUAUUUUGUAGUAUAAGCAAACUAAUGAGACAGUAUCAACCAACAUAUGAUUUGUGCACUGUGCAUAAAAAAAUCAAGACUACAAAUAUAGUUUAGGAACGCAAUCACAAGGCUGUCCAGUAACCUAAUUUGGUUACUUGAAAAAGUCUCCAGAUGAACAGGGCAAUAUAUUGCUGUGAGGUGAGUUAUGAGGCAAUAGGAGGUGAAACCAAUUGGAGGAGGCCACCAAAUUAAGUAUCACUAACAAGCUUGUAAAGGUAAACAUAAACUACCAAACAAAAGGCAGUAAAAUUUCUCCAAAUGUGUGGCUCUUCUAGUCAGUUUUAAAAGAAUGAAGUGUGUUUUGUCUUUGCUUAUCUAUCAUCAAUUAACAAAGAGAAACAAGCUUAUACAAAGCUCCAGUCAAUAAUGCCACAAAGUAAAUAAAUAUAAAUGGAUGUAGUGCAAAACAAGAAGGUGAGCUGGUUACACACCUUAUGCUAUCUACAUCUCAGAAAUCACCUCCUUCAACCAAUAAAGCCGAAGAUUUGAGUCCUUGGUAUUGAUGAAUAUUUCUCGAUUCAUUGGGCAUUUGAAAAGCCGCAAUGCCUUUGCUUUUUCUGCAACUGAUAAAUCUUCCAUUGGUUCUAGCGCAGCCACACAGUUUCCAAUUGAGAACAUGUCAUCUGGCUUUCAUUCCUUCAACUCGUCAACCAGUUUUGCAGGUUGUUUCUUCCGAAAAUCCAUGUAAUCCUCAAGAACAACAGCGAUCUGGCUUUGCUUCCUCUUUUCACAGGCACUCCCUUUUGUUCAGAGUUGGUAGAUGUUGUAGCUUCAGGUUCAUCUCUUCUUGAUGCCCCUUGCCCUUGUAGAUCAGAUGAGGACAUACCAUCAUCAACAUUGGUAGAUGAGAUAUGGUUCAAAUCAUUGGUAGAGGAAUCCAUAGGAGAAAUGGCAUCGCUUGUGAGAUCCACUUGCGGAAUUGAUACAAAGUUCAAGUCUCCUGAAGCAACACAUCCUGCUCCAAAAAAGAAACAUAUCAGCAUGUUCUCUUAGAAACAUCAGAUUCAUCUAUAAUUGCAAAUACACAUAUUUACUGCCACCCAUUCCAGAAAGAAAGUAUAUAUACAGAUAACUUGGUCCUUCAUCAUACAACUUUUUAGAAAGAAAAAGAGCACUCAAGCAGGGUCCGAUGGAAACACAUGAAAAAAUACAGGUAUCUCAACAAUCUCCCAAAUACUAUAUAAUUAAAGCAAGAAUGAAAAGGAUUUAAUAUACAGGGUCGACGGAAACACGUUAUACAGGAAACACACCUUCAUGUAGUAAAGCCAAUGACUUGAAGAGCAUGAAUGGUUUUGAACGGAACUUCUUUAUCCUUGCAUUAUCCUAUUGAAUGCAACAAUAUUGUAUGGUUGGGAUCAAUAAAACAAUGCCUUGAAGAGCAUGAAUGCCAGUGAACAAAAAAUAUAUCAAGAAAAGAGUUAACCUUGAUAAGUUUAUCCCAUAUUACAGGUUCGGCGAUGAUCAUGCAUCCCAUCCCGUGCCACUCUGUUUCUGAGAGUCUCUCACUGCCUUAUAAUUUUCUUUUAAAUCCUUAUCCUUCUCUUGGAUUUGUUGCUUGCUGAAAUUAGCUAGUGGAAAUUUCCGAUUGAAUGUAUUUGCAAUUCUAGUCCACCCUUCAGCAGUCCACCCAUUUUGACCUCGAUAGAUGGGAUUGUUGUGGUCAAGCAUUAUAUCAACAAGACCUUUCUCAUAUGCAUGGUCCCAAGAUGCCCUAGGCGCUGCCAUUGCUACAUUAUUGAACCAACAAUGGGGUACUAGUUAAAUUUCUCUCUACCACUACUUUACCUAAGAAAAGGUGAGAAAAAAAUUACAAAGUAAACUCAUGUCCGACUAGUUGUUAUAAUCAGCCCACAUUUGCAUCGCGAUCUGAUCUCUAAGAGUGUUCCCAUUGUUUGCCUCAUUGUGAUGAUGUUGGUUGACAUCAUAUCCCUCUGGAACAUCAACAUAUGUUUCUGGUGGAAUUAACGGUGGUUGGUGAUCCAACCAUGCCUCAUCACCACUUUGAGCUCUAAUGAUGUUAUGGAAUACAGCACAUGCUGCAGGAAUCUUGAUUUGUGACUCUAUUGGGUAGCCAUUGCCCACUUUCAAGAUAGGGAAACAUUUUUUUAGAACACCAAUGCUCCUUUCGAUGUGGUUCCGAAGAAUUGCAUGGGUAUGGUUGAAAAGCUCCCUAUGGUCGGCAUAGCCCGUAUGAGAUGAGCGUCGCCUCCUAAAUUACCGAACUCCUCGAUAUGGUGCAAGAAAAGAAGGCGUGUUGGCAUAUCCACCAUCUACGAGAUAAAAUUUUCCAUCUGGCACAUGAAACCCCUUGCUAAUAGCAGAACGAAGAACUCCUGCAUCUGAUGCAGAUCCUUCCCACCCACAUGAAAUAAAUGUGAAAUUCAGAUGAAAAUCACAUGCAACCAUGACAUUCUGUGAGAGGGCUCCUUUCCUAUUCCUAAAUGGGGGGGCCUUAUCUUCAGCAAUAGUGAUGGGGAUAUGUGUUCCAUCUAUAGCACCAAUGCAGUUCUGCACAUUGAAACAGAAACAACAAAGUUGGUAGGUUUAGAAAUCUAUGUGGAGAAGUUUACAAAAAUUCCAUUGAUAUGGAGAUGUGUGUGUAGUGGUUCACCUGGAAAUAAGGCCAAUAGCGAUUGUUCGAAACAAUCUUCGGAUGGGGCUGGAGUGAACUUGGAAUCUUUAUAAAUCUUUGGGCUAGAGUUGUAAUUAAGUCAAAAAUCAUGUUUAUCUUCCUAUGAAUUGUUUAUGCGCUGUGUUGGAAGUACUUUUGUAGAUCUUGAUUACUAGCAUUGUGCAAAAUCAUGUACAUGAACAUCGCCAAUUGCUCCUCGGCAGAAACACGUGACGUGCCCUUCAAUAGAUUCUCUCUUCUAAGGUAAUCCACAAUAGACUUAAAAAUCUCAGGUUCCAUCCGAAACUCAACCCUAGACCAACUCUCAUGGCCUUCUAAUAUUUCCUUAACCUUUGCAGCCCCGGAUAAAGAUGAUGUGUGAACUGGAUGCUUUUCCUCAUAAAGGGAAGCAUAUAAAGCGGGAACCAAAAGGAAAAAUAGUUCAUCGUCUUCUUCUUGUUCUUGCGAGAUAAUCUUAAUAAUUUUAUUUCUCCUAGAAUCCAUCACUAUUAUACCCAAUGAAAAUAAAAUUAAUACAACUAUAAUAAUUAUAAAUAAAGCAAUAAUAAUACCAUCUCUAUUAUGGCUGCAAAGAACCAAUAGCUAGGAGCCUAGGAAGCUCAGGAGUGAAUACAACGAUAAUACCAUUUCUGUUGUUACAUCUACGUACAUAAUUUGGAGCAUCAGUUUUCUCAUAUACUAAAAUAAGACCACUUUCAAUACUAGGCAGAGAAAAUAACAUCACAAGAGCAGUAGUUUUGCAUAAUUUAAGCUUCCUUAGUGACCAUGUCAAAGGGAUGACUGUGUCACAUACCUUUCUUACUCUGAGUGAAAACUUCUCAAUGACCCACGUAUCAAAAGGCACCAAGCAAUUGAACACAAAGUCUUCGGAUAAAGCCAACUUCUAAUGUCAGAGCA
rnacentral:lncRNA from 1 species